CCGGGUGGACACACGGAUGCAAGGCCGAAAUGAGAUAAAAUAAAUGGAUUCCAUUUAAAGGUGCACCUCUGGCAACAACAUGUGCAAAGUGCCAACCUUGAGAUGUUCCCACUCACAGAGGAGCGGCAAGAUCACCCUGCUGCACUGUGCGAGGUAAUAGGUAAACAUCUGUAAACUCUUGAGAAGUUGUCAUUUUAUUUCUCUUCAGCCUCCAUUGAAUGCCUUGACUGCUGUUGGAAAGGACAUGACUUUACAGGAGCAGGAGGAACUAACUGAACUGAAACAAGAUCGUGGUUUAAAGCUAAGAUUUGCUGAACUUCUUUUGGACAGUUUUUGGUUGACUGCUGCCAAGGAAUUCCCCAUUCCGGCCAACAAAGUUUUGACAUUGCUCCCAUUUUCCACAACAUAUGUGUGUGAGCUGAGCUUUUCAAGCCUAACUGCUAUAAAAACUAAAAACAGAGAGAGACUGAAAGCUGCUGAAGAGCUUCGUGUAUGCCUUUCUUCAAUUCCUGCCAGGAUAUCGGCUUUAUGUUCAUCUAAACAGGCCCAGGUUUCACACUGAGAAGCUGCCUUAAUCACGAUGUACCCAGGCUACGCAGGCAGGACCGAGCUCCGGGACAACCUGGAGGCCCGCUUCAGAUCCGUCUCCAUGAUUGUGCCCGACCACGCCGUCAUCGCAGAGGUGGACUUGUGAGCUGAGGGCUUCAAGUCCAGUGAGACUCUGGCGAAGAAGAUGAUUCAGCUGUAUAAGCUGUGCAGCAAGCAGCUUUCCCGGCAGGACUACUACGACUUCAGCAUGAGAGUCGUCAACUCUGUUAUCGUCAUGGCCGGGUCGCUGAUGCGAGAGAACCCACACCUGAGUGAGAACGUGGUGUUGAUUAGAGCGCUACGAUACUCCAACCUGCCCAAGUUACUCAAGGAUGACGCAGAACUUAAAAUAAAAUAAAUUGAUAAAUAGUAAAGAACGCCAAAGCUUACAUAUGGAGUAUCAAAGGUCAUUAUCACAGGAUCACUGGAAUCAGGCACUAGGAGGAAAUUCCAGGACAAAUUAGGAAAUACAAUUAACUGACAUUUGCAAAUUCUUUGCAACUAAAAAGCUGUAAUCAUAUACUAUAUAACUUUUUUUAAAGCAUUUAAAGUAUAUAACAUUAACACCUUGUAAUGUUAUACCAGAUGAAAGUAAAGAAUCCUGGAACAUCUGAACAUCCAUAAUCUGAAAAUCUUGAACCUAGUGUCAAUCGAGUCAAUCCAAUCUUUCUUGUGUGCGUUUAGCGGUAUUCUGUCGGACCUCUUUCCUGG